AGAGUUGAUCUGGCUCAGGAUGAACGCUAGCUACAGGCUAACACAUGCAAGUCGAGGGGCAGCAUUAUCGAAGCUUGCUUGAUAGAUGGCGACCGGCGCACGGGUGAGUAACGCGUAUCCAACCUUCCCAUCACUCAGGGAUAGCCCGCCGAAAGGCGAAUUAAUACCUGAUGGUCUCCUUCGCGGACAUCUAACGAGGAGUAAAGAUUUAUUGGUGAUGGAUGGGGAUGCGUCUGAUUAGGUAGUAGGCGGGGUAACGGCCCACCUAGCCGACGAUCAGUAGGGUUCUGAGAGGAAGGUCCCCCACAUUGGAACUGAGACACGGUCCAAACUCCUACGGGAGGCAGCAGUGAGGAAUAUUGGUCAAUGGACGGAAGUCUGAACCAGCCAAGUAGCGUGCAGGAUGACGGCCCUAUGGGUUAGUAAACUGUCUUUUGUGGCGGGAAAUAAAGUAUGGGACGUGUCCCUAUUUUGCAUGUACCGCACGAAUAAGGACCGGCUAAUUCCGUGCCAGCCGCCGC
rnacentral:rRNA from 1 species